AUGACGCUGGUUUGGAGAUCACUUGAAACAGGGGCUCCUCCCCUGGGCAGGCUUGAAGAGCCCCCCGCCCCCACCGAGCACCUGCAGAGGCUGGACACAACAGGCAUUCACGCACUCAAAGCAAAACCACCACAAGAUCAACUGGUGUGUUUGUACACAGAGCAGUCACACUCGAGCAUAUGGCAUCUCAGGCUCAGGCCCUGGGACGGGAUAAGAAUCCGAAUGCCUGGGGUGUGCGUGCAGGCGGCCAGGCAAAAAGGGCUCAGCACAGUGCCAACGCCUGCUGGAUGAACCAAUGAAAUCUGCCUUCAAAUCCUAUCAAAAAGUUAAAGAGACAUGAUUAAUCAAUGAGAUGGAACAUACUGCUCUGCUUGGCUUGGAAGAGAGUGAAGGGUUGCAGAGGUGCAGAACAGAGGAUGUAGGAGUCUCUUUCAGUUAGAUGGGCAGAUUCUAAAUGCUAUGACCUCUCUGGUCACUGGCCAAACUGGCAGCAGAGCUCAAACUGGUAGGGGACCCUGGAAUUCAGUGCACAGGGCUCAGCUCAUGGAAGUCUAU
rnacentral:lncRNA from 1 species